GGAGACUUAGCUCAGUGGUAGAGCGCUUGCCUAGCAAGCGCAAGGCCCUGGGUUCAGUCCCCAGCUCCG
rnacentral:tRNA from 1 species